UACGUAGGGUGCAAGCGUUGUCCGGAAUUAUUGGGCGUAAAGAGUUCGUAGGCGGUUUGUCGCGUCCGUUGUGAAAGCUUGGGGCUCAACCCCAAGUCUGCAGUGGAUACUGUCGAACUAGAGUCCGGAAGAGGCGAGUGGAAUUCCUGGUGUAGCGGUGAAAUGCGCAGAUAUCAGGAGGAACACCGAUGGCGAAGGCAGCUCGCUGGGACGGUACUGACGCUGAGACGCGAAAGCGUGGGGAGCAAACAGG
rnacentral:rRNA from 1 species